ensembl:lncRNA
GGCCGCUGCAGCCCGCGCCGCGCUAUCUCCCGGGGCACUCGUGGGCACGCGCGCCGGCUCCUCUGUCAGUCACCUGCCUGUCAGCCCCGCAGCCGGGCUGCACCGGCGGCGAGCGGCGGCGGCGGACGGAGCCGCGCGGGGAGGAGGAGACGGCGGCGGCGGUGCUGGUGGUGGUGGUGGUGGUGGCUGCGGCGGCGGCGGCGGCGGCGGGCGGGCGGGGGAGGGGGUGGGGGUGCAGGGGCGGCCCCGCAGGCUGAGGGGGGGCGCGCGGGCGGCGCAGCGGGGUCCCGGGCGGGGCGCAGCGGGCCGCGGGCUUCCAGGCGCGCUCCCCGCGCUACCCCAGUGCCAUGGUGCGCCCGAGGAGCCGCUCGGUUUAGAGCUGUGGGGCCGGCGGCGGAGGGAUACCCCGGCCGGGAGCCGCCUCACCGCUCCUCAAACUUCCUGACAUUUGAACUCAUUGGUGCGCCUCGUAUCCCUGCGCCGGGAUGAGCCGGCGACUCCACGUCAAAUAGUGCCGUCGCUGCCCACCCCCCCACCUCUCCAACCCUCCCGCCCCCCGGCGGGAGGGCUCCCCGCGGCCCCCCGGCUUGAGCUCCCUGCGCUGCGCUGGGCCCCCGAGUGCGGACCCGGGCGCCCCCGGCCAGGCCGAGCGCCCCGCGGGUCCCUCGCAGAAGUUUGGGUCGCCUUCGAAACAAAUCCUUCUGCCCCACCCCCUUGAAAAAUUGAUUUGGGAGUUGGGGAAUGAAAGCUUUUCUUUCUUUCUUUUUUUUUUCUUCCCUCUUCUUGCCUUCUUUAUUAUUAAUAUUUUGUAAAGCUUCAGUGCUAAGAGGAGUGGCCCUGAGAGAGGACAGACUCUUCACGGACGGCGGGGAGAGCAGCGGCUCCACCAGGAGACGGCGCCGACCCGCAGUGGCCGCCCGAGGGAGACCCCGACCGUCGGCCGAGGUCCUGCAGGCCCACCCCAGACUCCAAAUUCCGGGAACAGCAGGUCAUCCCCUUCUUCCUGUUUCCCACUCCCGCCUUCCCUGUGCCGAGCCUCUUCUCCACAUCUCUCUUAUCCCCUUUGUCGGAAUGGAGACCUCUGAGCUUCUGGGACUCUAUGGCUGCUGUACAGAGUUGAGUCGGAACUGUGCCCAGGGUUGCAUUCCCGGGGCGGCUCAAAGGCCGCAUCUCCAAGCAGAAGGGUGAGCCGGCGACCCACCUUCAGCUGAGUCGGCGGCGUCCCGGCUCCUUCGCGCUGUGCGCAGAGGCCCCAGGUCUCUUUCAAGCCCAGUUGUGGCUCCUGCGUCUCCCGACGGGCUUCCCCUGCUGAAAACUUGGCGGACUGUACUGUAGAAACGGGGCCUCGGCCUGAAGUUGGAUACUGCCGGUAGCUGGCGAGUGCUGUCUUGCUUGGACCGCCGACAGAAGCCGCCAAUUCCUCCCCAGGGCGACCCCGGGCCCUCUGGCGAUCCGGGAUUCUCUUGGGCUUGGACUAAGGUGUCAGAAACAGCUUCGGGUUUUCUCCACCUAAGGGAAGACCCAGUCGACGGUGCGGAAUCGCUUGGGAAGAAGCAAGAACUGAGAUGGAAGCUGUAGGGCAGGAGUCUUAGCUCCCCAAUUCUAUGGACACCUCAUUUCCCCUGAGCCUUUCUCUCUACCUCCUUGCUCCUUUCCUUAGGGCUUAGUGCUCCCACAGCCUGCCUGCGCGCUACCAGCGGCCCACAAGCAGGGUCCUAGGACCCCUACCCUCUGGGCAGUGGAGCCCUGUCUGUUCUCCCCCAGCCGUGCUUCUGACCAGAGCCAGCCGUGAGUCCCCUCCCAGUUUACAGCCCCAGCUGGAAGCCAGAAUCCUGGGCAGGAGUGGAGGACAGGGCGCGGCCCAGCCUGGUGCUGCACAGCUUGGAGGCGCGGGCGCCGGGCUGUGCGGAUCUGAGAUUCCACCCUGCCAGCCAGGGGUAGAGUCAGGGCUGCCAGAGCACGCAGACCCCAUCCUGCCUUGCUUGCUGGCCACUGGCCCCUGAGAUCCUCAGAUGCGUGCAUGUAGGAACGUGGGGGGAGCCAGCCUGGACCAGAGCUGAGGCCCCCAGCCAAGACCUAGGCUGGGGGCUGCUCCUCCCAGGACCUAGCCUGGGCUCUGAAGACCUGGGUGCUCAGGAAGUGAAGCAGGCAGGCACUGAAGGGGUUGAGUGUACCGGCCUCUGGAGCCAGAUGUGAUCACCCUUGACUCCUUGGAUCACUGGCUGUACUUGACCCCCAGGACACAGGGGUCAAAGGCUCAGGUCUCUUCUCAGCUAGCAGAGAGAUGCAUGUGUGUGAUAAGUAAUCUGGUCACCUUCCCGCAGCCCAGGGAAGAGGGUCUGUGGUCUUCCCAUGUCUGCGGAGAGCUCAGAGACCCUGAGUCCCGUGGAGGUGCCCAGAGGGAUGACUGGGGAGGGGGGUGCGGUUUCCAAGUGUGUGGGGGGUCCCUCUGACUCAGGACUGGGAGCAGGCCUCACUCUCCCAUCUGGGGUUUUCUAGACUGAGGCGGCAGGGGAGAAGACUUUAGUUAGAACUUGCUGGUGAGGCACAGUGUGUGUGGCUCUGAGGCUGUGUGCGGGUGUGUAUCCGUGUGCAAUGUGGGGUCUAUCCAGCCCCAGCACCAUCCUCAACCAGCUGGUGGGGGAGUCUCUGGCCACGGACUCAUGACUUUUCAGCACAAGGUCUGGGUUACUAGUCAUGAGAUUUCUCCUUGGUGGGUCAGGAGAUCCUGACUCAGGAUUGCAGAUCGAAAGGCUGCUUUGAGCCCUCAGGGCUGGAGAGGGACAGUGCCCCAGUCAGGUGGCCCAGGGCUGAGAUCUCUCACUGGCCAAACAGUGGGUUAGAACUGGGGUGAAGAGCAGGUCUCAGGAAGUCCCCCCAGAUCUGGUUUAGGACCUCCAGAAGGCCCUCCCCUCGCUCUGUACUGCAACUUCCUCAUCUGUAAAGUGGGCGUAAUAGCCUGAAUUCCCGCAGGGCCGUUGGGAGAAUGGACUACAAGUGCUCACCACAGUGCCUGGCACAUAGUGCGUCUCCACUCAGAUAUCUGGAGGAAAGAGAGUCCCCAGGACAUAGGGGAGACUGCAGCUGCCUCCUUCCUGCCCAAACGCAUGCUGAGCUCAACAAUCUAUCUUCCUUUAGGGGAGGUGAAACUCAGGUCCAGGCAGCUGUGGGCCGGGUCCAGGAGACCCCCUGCCCCCCGCCCAGGCAGUGCCCAGACAGCCCAGCACAGUCUCAGCCUUCACUCCUCGCUUUGGCUGUGGAGCCCAGGCUGAGGGGUUUUUCAGACGGCAACAAAAUUAGGGGCUUCAGCCUAAUGCAUCGAAGCUGUCUGUGUGGGACUCCCAAGGUGCCAUUUAUAUUUAUUUCCUAAAAGGCACUUUCCUCAAGAAUCUUUGCAUUUCUUGCCAAAUGGACAGGCUGGGGUAUUUCAGCGGCUCCUAUAGAACCGGGGCUUCCCUGAUGGAGGACCUGAGCCAGAACAAAGAAAAGGCCCAGGACCAUAUUUCGAGCCAUAAAACCCCCAUUAGGACACUUACGAAUAACUCGCAGAAAGACAUUUUAUAUGAAUUGGACCCAAAUUCACAAAAGCAAGAAAGUUCAUUGGUCUCCACCCCGAGGGUCCGUGACUGGGGAAGGGGGGCUGGGUGUGAUGCAGGGGCCAGCGCCCAGCCUAUUUGAUCUUUAUCUUAAAUCCACUUCAAAAGCGGGGGAUCGGCAGAGCUGGAGGUUUGCCUCUUCCUGUAAUUAUUUGGUGUCUAGUAAAGUUUUUAUGAGUGUCUGUGCAAAUAAAUGCAUUUGAUGUGCAUUUGUUUUGGCUAGU